rnacentral:lncRNA from 1 species
CUUGGGCUGGGCGAAGUCUGAGGGACCCGGCCUCACCCACUGGGCGCCUAGUGAAGAGUGGCAGUUUGGGCAGUGCCCGAGGAGCCCAGCCCACUGUAGAGGCCGGUGUGGCCCACAGUAAGUGCCCUGGUCUGGUCCUCCUCUUCUCUUCCCCACAGUCAGUUUUCCUAACCACUUGCAAGAAAGGAGAAGAACCAGGGCCAGAAUUCUGGAAAAGUGGGCCUGUGUGGUGGGUAACUGUGUACUCUGAGGAGUCAAAAUGUCGUGGUGGGGUCAAGUGUCAGAGUUUACACAGCCGGAAUCGUGUUACUCAAGAAGCAGGCAGCUGGAGGAGAGGCUGGCCUCCGCCUUCCCUGAUUCUUUUUUUGUCCUGCAGUGAUAGAGGCUUUAGGGGUCCUGGAGCCCCGGGGAUCACCUGUGCCCUGGCAUGAUGGAAGUCUCUCAGACCUGAGCCUGACAGGGGAGGAGCUGGCACCUGGAGGCAGUCCAGGCGGCUCAGGCUUGGCCCUGAGUGCCCAGUCCACUGAGGCCCUGGAAGGGCUGAGUGUGCGAGGGCCCAAGGCUAGUGGGCGUCAGGAUGAGGCAGCCACCCCCCGACGAGGGCUGGGUGCCCGCCUCCAGCAGCUGCUCACUCCUUCCCGCCGCUCCCCUGCUGCCCGCAUUUCCCCAUCAGAGAUGCCCCCUGACCUGCCUCCCCCUGCCCGUCGCAGCCCAAUGGAGAGUCUUCUGAGGCCCCGGGAGCGACCUGGAUCCACUGCAUCGGAGGUAGCCAGCCCCGAAGCUUCAGGAGGCCCCAGGAGGGGCCUGCAGGGUCGUUAGAGCUGGCAUCCCUGCUGGAGAGGAGCGCGGAGCCAGCUGACAGGGUUUCCUUGUGUGAUGGCAGAGCUCAGCCUCUCUGGGCAGUGAGUGGGACCUCUCAGAGUCUUCUCUCAGUAGCCUGAGCCUCCGCCGUUCCUCAGAGCGCCUCAGUGACACCCCUGGAUCCCUCCAGCCACCUUCCCUGGAAGUGAGGAUAACCGCCCCCCUGCAGUCUUCCCGGGAAAGGCAGGGUGGGGAGGAGGUCAAGGAGGGCUGGCUGGGAUUUGGAGGUGGAAGGGCCAGGAGAGGGGCACUGAAGGCUGAGCCAGGCCUACUUCCUGGGGUCUCCUUGUCCACAGAUUCUGCUCUCCAGCUGCUCCCUGUGCCGUGCCUGUGACUCACUGGUGUACGAUGAGGAAAUCAUGGCUGGUUGGGCACCUGACGACUCUAACCUCAACACAACCUGCCCCUUCUGCGCCUGCCCUUUUGUGCCCUUGCUCAGUGUUCAGACCCUUGAUUCCCGACCCAGGUGCCCAAAUCAGGGCAAGUGCCGUGGGUGGGACAGGAAGGCAGUGGUCCAAGAGCUGACCCCUUCUGCUGUCCCCUUGCAGUGCCCCCAGCCCCAACCCUGCCCCUGCUGGUGCCAGCAGCAGCAAAGACGCCCCUGUUCCUGGGGGUCCUGGCCCUGUGCUNGGAAAGAUACAGAGCUACUGAGCCUUUGCCCAGAUGAGAGGGGGGAUCUCAUCCCACCAGUGGUGGUCCCCCUUCCCUGGCGUUGCUGAAGGAGCCCAAGGCUCUCCAUGCCUUUCUACCUUAGUGUUUGUAUUUUAUUUUAAGUUAUUUAUUCUGGAGCCACAGCCCCCUUGCUAAUGAGGCUCUAAUGGAGAGUGAGAAAGAGAAGGGAAAUGGGGCACCGAGGUCUGUAGCUCCCUGAAAGCCAGGCAGUGGGAGCCAGGGGAGCCCCAGGACCCCCUGAGGAAGAACUGGUGCCUCCUGCAGUCCUGAUCUUUCCUGUCCACUCCAUCUUGGGAAGCGCCCCACCCACCCAGGGCCCUGACCUGUGCAAUAAGAAUUGUCCCCUGCAAAGUUUUGUUGUAUGUAAAUAUAGUAAAAGCUGCUUCUGUCUUUUUCCUUCUGUCUCCCUUUUCCUGGGUCUGGAUGAUAGUGGGGGAUGCUUAUGCUGCGCCUUUCUCUUUUCCACCUCUGUCCUUUGCAACCUUCAGGUAUACCCUGCUUCUCCUGGCCCCUUGGUCUGGUACUGGCCCCUUGGGGCACAGGGAGUUCUUAGAGCAGGAUGGGGGGGAAUCUGGUGCUGCUAUGGCAGUGCCAGUCUGUGUGGCACUUCCAGCCCUCCCACACAAUCACCCCCUUGUCCCUCAUCUGUACCCCACACAAAGGCUCCAUUCUCUGGGGGCCUUGAGCUCAUCUUUGCCUUAUUUCCUCUCCCCUAACUUGCCCCCCGACUUCUCCAGUACCUCCACAGAGAUGACAACCCUUUCCCCAGUAGUUGGUGUUGGCGGCCCUCACGUGUCCUGGGGGACUUGGCAUUCAGUCAUUCUCGUCCUCCCUAGUUGCUCUAUUUGCAGGCAGUAUUCUUCUGCUCAGGGUCUCAGCCUGGGGACAGCACUGGAAAGAAAGGGGCUUCUUGUGCUGUGAACAUCAGGGAGAUGGGCAUCAUUUUCUAAUCCCUUGGCCCACUCAACGCUCUCCUUUUUUUCCCUAUAUAAGAAAUAAACAGGAAACAAUUCCUAACAGAGCUGCAAAACCAUUUACCAAAGGGAGUCAGCUAACAAAACAAAUGCCUUGGGAAGGAGGGCUGCAGUAUCAAUGGGGGAAGUGACUUACAUUAAUGUUUAGUGUAAAUCCCUGGGCGAUGGAGAUCAGUGGGUGAAAAGAGAAGUACUACUUCUGAAUGCCGGGACCUUCAUGCAGAGGACCCUUCCCCAUCCUGCCUUGAUGCUUUUCCAGUCCUUAAAAGAGCUGCAAAGGAGGAAACCAAAGGGCUUAGGAAAUGCCACCAUCUGUCUUGCUAGAUGAUGAUCUCUUCAGAGGUCACCCUAGUUUCUGAUUAGACCCCACUCAUCAGAAUCGACUCCCUAUUUUGUCCCUAAGGCCUAAGGACCUUUAGUAAGGGUGGACUUGCCUGUGUGUGUGUGUGUGUGUGUGUAGUGGUGGUGAUGCCGGGGAUCAAAUUCAGGCCUCAUUCAUGCUAGGCAAGUGCCCUACCAGUGAGCUAUGCCCCUAGCUUACAGACCUGCCCUCUUACAAUUAAUUUGGGUAUAGUAUACUCAGUACUGCACUUAACUAUAGUGAGAAAAUUUUAGGGCCCAGUCCCUGCCCAAGUAGAGCAUACUAUCUUACUAGUCUAGCAUGCCCUUUGGUUCCACAGUAAGAACUCUGCCUUCCAGCUUAUGCCUCUCAUUUUUGAGAAGUUAGAUAAGAGAACUACAGAAUUUCAUAACUACAGAUUAUCGGGAAUUCCAAUAGCAACUUAUGAUACCAUAAUAUCUGAUAUCUGUCCUGUGGCCUAGGGAGCUUUCUGAGGGAAAGGAUAUGUCUAAAUUGCCUGGGUCAGUUUCUUUUUCCAGACUUCAGAGUAUAAAUCUUGUCUCUGUCACUUACUAAUCUUAUGAUGUCAGACAAGUAACUUAACUGCUAUGCCUUAUUUUUUUCUCAUCUGAAUGUGGGGAGGGGGGUCAUUUAAAGACUAAUUAUAUUAUCCAUAUGAAAUGUUAAGCACAUUCAAUAAAUGUUAGCUUCAAAAAG